GAUGAACGCUGGCGGCGUGCCUAAUACAUGCAAGUCGAGCGAACAGACGAGGAGCUUGCUCCUCUGACGUUAGCGGCGGACGGGUGAGUAACACGUGGAUAACCUACCUAUAAGACUGGGAUAACUUCGGGAAACCGGAGCUAGUACCGGAUAAUAUAUUGAACCGCAUGGUUCAAUAGUGAAAGACGGUUUUGCUGUCACUUAUAGAUGGAUCCGCGCCGCAUUAGCUAGUUGGUAAGGUAACGGCUUACCAAGGCGACGAUGCGUAGCCGACCUGAGAGGGUGAUCGACCACACUGGAACUGAGACACGGUCCAGACUCCUACGGGAGGCAGCAGUAGGGAAUCUUCCGCAAUGGGCGAAAGCCUGACGGAGCAACGCCGCGUGAGUGAUGAAGGUCUUCGGAUCGUAAAACUCUGUUAUUAGGGAAGAACAAAUGUGUAAGUAACUAUGCACGUCUUGACGGUACCUAAUCAGAAAGCCACGGCUAACUACGUG
rnacentral:rRNA from 1 species